AGGCCCUUUUUCGCACGCAUUUGAGUGUUUAAAACGGAGAUUGUGAUUCAGGUUCCAAAAAACCCGAUUGAAACUUAGAUUCAUCGUAAUCUGGAUGUGAGCUAUCUUUAUAAAAAGGACCGACUAUGGUGGUUCUAUGUAUGAUCUACGUUAAACAAAUAUAGUAAUACUACCACGGGAAGGGGCGCGAGAAGAUGACAGACUAUAUGGUGGUUCUAUCUAUCCUAUGUAUGCUAAACAAAUAACGUCGCGCCUUUUCCAGGAAGUAUAGAGUUCAAUGCGCUAGGUGAAGUUCAAGAUACUUCUGAUCUUCUUCACUUAGUGGUUGUCCCUCCAUCCUGGGUUUAUCGCUUGUACCAAUUUAAUACAUGUGUACCUUCAAGUUUCCUCGUACCGUGGAGGCACCCAUCGGGCGCGUCCCCGGGCGGCGGAUAGGGGGACGCCCACACAGACACCUGAAUGAUAGUAAAGUGACUCGUAUUUCGGUGUGGGUAGUGACGAUUAUAUGUGACUCGUCGGGGAUGAAACCCACACAGGUAGCGUCGAAGGUCGUCGUCGGGGACCAACCUCCUAAGUCAAGGUGUUAGCGACCGUGCCGCGUGGCACUUGAGUGCAAGUGUCGAUAACAGUGCCCUAGGAUACCGGGCGACCUUCUAGUGAAGCAUUCCAGUGUCUGGUUCAAGGCAACACGAAAAGAAGCCCAGAGGUUCUGGAGCACCCAAAGUUGCGCGUGUACCACGAACCUAUGGGCCAGUCGCUGCGGCGAGGCCAAAUCUGGGUCUUCUAAUAAGCUUCUAAAACUGAAUAGAAGCCAGAAUAAGAAGGAGAUCACCGGUGUCCUUACGGUGCACUGGAUGGCCAAACGAUCUGCUUUUAUGCGCUUUCGACUAUUCAAGAAAAAAAAACACUUCGGUGGAGUUCCAACUAUUCAUUAUAAUAUUUUACAGUAAAAUACACAUUUACUAAACCAAUAUUGAUAGUUGGUGUUUCAGGUCUUUCCCGGAACUGUUUUAAUCCGGAACGUGAUCGCCUAAAGAUUGCGUGUAGAGGAGGAGCGCUCCAGAACUAAUUAUAAUUGCAAAAACCUGUAAAUGAUAGGGUUAUUUACGUUCAUUCACAGAGAAAAAAUGCUUUCGUCAUCGUCCUUCCAUUUAAACGAGCUAUUCACAAACAAACAUUUAUUAAAAUAUUUAUUAAGAAAGUG